rnacentral:rRNA from 1 species
UACCAGCUCUCCGAGUGGUAGGGAUGAUUAUUGGGCUUAAAGCGUCCGUAGCCGGCUUAGCAAGUUUCCUGUUAAAUUCAGCGACCUAAUCGUUGAGCCGCGGGAAAUACUACUAGGCUAGGAGGCGGGAGAGGUCGACGGUACUUCUGGGGUAGGGGUGAAAUCCUAUAAUCCCGGGAGGACCACCAGUGGCGAAGGUUGUCGACUAGAACGCGCUCGACGGUGAGGGACGAAAGCUGGGGGAGCGAACCGGAUUAGAUACCCGGGUAGUCCCAGCUGUAAACGAUGCGGGCUAGGUGUUGGGGUGGCUACGUGCCACUUCAGUGCCGCAGGGAAGCCAUUAAGCCCGCCGCCUGGGGAGCACGGCCGCAAGGCUGAAACUUAAAGGAAUUGGCGGGGGAGCACCACAAGGCGUGAAGCUUGCGGUUC